rnacentral:lncRNA from 1 species
UGAGAAUGUCAUAAGAUACAAGAUAUACAAAUAGGUUAAAAUAUACUACAAUGAUUCGUAAUUCGAUAUAUUUUCGAGUUCUUUCUUUUCGUUUUCGUUUCACUAAAGCUAGUCGGAAUCUGGUGUGGUGGAAUCGUUCCUGGAAUCUCAAGUUCCAGUCGUUGCUCAUCAAAAGGUAGACAACUCCUAAUUCUUUUAUUCAUUUAAUCUCCAUUAGAUGUUAAACUUGAGUUUUGUUCUGUGUGGGCUUCGAGAUGCUUAUAUGAGGUGUUUGAAGCUAAGUGUUGUCUUUAAUCUUCAUCUUAUUUUCUCUAAGAUUUGUGGUGGGAGUUUCGUUUCUAACACGAUCUAGUGCGUAUCUUGAAAUCGUUUCUCUGUUUGUAGUCUUGCUCACUGGUUAAUCACUAUGAUACUGUUAUGUUUUU